UACGUAGGGCGCAAGCGUUAUCCGGAAUUAUUGGGCGUAAGGAGCUCGUAGGCGGUUUGUCGCGUCUGCCGUGAAAGUCCGGGGCUCAACUCCGGAUCUGCGGUGGGUACGGGCAGACUAGAGUGAUGUAGGGGAGACUGGAAUUCCUGGUGUAGCGGUGAAAUGCGCAGAUAUCAGGAGGAACACCGAUGGCGAAGGCAGGUCUCUGGGCAUUAACUGACGCUGAGGAGCGAAAGCGUGGGGAGCAAACAGG
rnacentral:rRNA from 1 species